rnacentral:rRNA from 1 species
GAUGAACGCUAGCGGCAGGCCUAAUACAUGCAAGUCGAACGGUAACAUGGUCGAGCAAUAGACUGAUGACGAGUGGCGCACGGGUGGCGUAACGCGUAUGCAAUACUACCUCUUACAGGGGAAGUAGCCCGGAGAAAUCCGGAUUAACACCGCAUAAUAUAUCGAGGAGGCAUCUUUUGUAUAUUAAAUAUUUAUAGGUAAGAGAUGAGCAUGCGCCUAAUUAGUUAGUUGGUGAGGUAACGGCUCACCAAGACGAUGAUUGGUAGGGG